rnacentral:lncRNA from 1 species
CAGAGAGAGAGAGAGAGGAGAGAGAGAGAGAUGUUUUAUGAAUCUGGGAUGAUCUCCUAGGACUUUCAAACAUUCCUCCUCCUCCUCCUCCUCCUCCUCCUCCUCCUUCUUCUUCCUCUCUCUCUCUCUCCCUCUCCCUUCCUUCCUUCCUUCCUUCCUUCCUUCCUUCCUUCCUUCCUUCCUUCCUUCCUUCCUUCCUUCCUUCCUUCCUUCCUUCCUUCCUUCCUUCCUUCCUUCCUUCCUUCCUUCUUUCCUCUCUCUCUCUCUCUCUCUCUCUCUCUCUCUCUCUCUCUCUCUCUCUCUCUCUCUCUCUCCCUUCCUCCCUCCCUGAUGACUCUGAGGCCAACUCUCCUGCUGUCAUCUUAUGUCUACAACACAUUCAAAGA